rnacentral:rRNA from 1 species
UCGAAGGUAGCAUAAUCAGUAGUCUUUUAAUUGAAGGCUGGUAUGAAUGGUUGGAUGAAAUAUUAACUGUUUCAUUUAAAAUUAUUAUAGAAUUUUAUUUUUUAGUUAAAAAGCUAAAAUUUUAUUAAAAGACGAGAAGACCCUAUAAAUCUUUAUAUAUUAUUUAUAUUAAUUAUAAAGAUUUUUUUGAUUAUUAUAUUUUAAUAUAUUUUAUUGGGGUGAUAUUAAAAUUUAAAAAACUUUUAAUUUAUAUAAUACAUAAAUUAAUGAAUAUAUGAUCCAUUAAUAAUGAUUAAAAAUUUAAGUUACUUUAGGGAUAACAGCGUAAUUUUUUUGGAGAGUUCAUAUCGAUAAAAAAGAUUGCGACCUCGAUGUUGGAUUAA